rnacentral:rRNA from 1 species
AGAGUUUGAUCCUGGCUCAGGAUGAACGCUAGCUACAGGCUUAACACAUGCAAGUCGAGGGGCAGCAUGAGAUUAGCUUGCUAAUCUUGAUGGCGACCGGCGCACGGGUGAGUAACGCGUAUCCAACCUUCCCCCUACUCAGGCAUAGCCCGGUGAAAACCGGAUUAACUCCUGAUAGUUUCACUAGAUGGCAUCUGACGGUGAAUAAAGCUUAGCGGUAAGGGAUGGGGAUGCGUCUGAUUAGCUUGUUGGCGGGGUAACGGCCCACCAAGGCGACGAUCAGUAGGGGUUCUGAGAGGAAGGUCCCCCACAUUGGAACUGAGACACGGUCCAAACUCCUACGGGAGGCAGCAGUGAGGAAUAUUGGUCAAUGGGCGGAAGCCUGAACCAGCCAAGUAGCGUGCAGGAUGACGGCCCUAUGGGUUGUAAACUGCUUUUGUCAGGGAACAAAGUGAGGGACGUGUCCCUUUUUGCGUGUACCUGUCGAAUAAGGACCGGCUAAUUCCGUGCCAGCAGCCGCGGUAAUACGGAAGGUCCGGGCGUUAUCCGGAUUUAUUGGGUUUAAAGGGAGCGCAGGCCGUUUGGUAAGCGUGUUGUGAAAUGUCCGGGCUCAACCUGGGCACUGCAGCGCGAACUGUCAGACUUGAGUGCACAGGAAGCGGGCGGAAUUCGUGGUGUAGCGGUGAAAUGCUUAGAUAUCACGAAGAACUCCAAUUGCGAAGGCAGCUCGCUGUAGUGUUACUGACGCUAAAGCUCGAAAGUGCGGGUAUCGAACAGGAUUAGAUACCCUGGUAGUCCGCACGGUAAACGAUGGAUGCCCGCUGUUUGCUUCGGGGUGAGUGGCUAAGCGAAAGCGUUAAGCAUCCCACCUGGGGAGUACGCCGGCAACGGUGAAACUCAAAGGAAUUGACGGGGGCCCGCACAAGCGGAGGAACAUGUGGUUUAAUUCGAUGAUACGCGAGGAACCUUACCCGGGCUUGAACUGCAGCGGAAGGAUACAGAGAUGUUGACGUCUUCGGGACCGCUGUGGAGGUGCUGCAUGGUUGUCGUCAGCUCGU